rnacentral:lncRNA from 1 species
GGGGGGGGGGGCAAAAGGGUGAUGAAACAUCAAUCCAAUUGUCCCCCAAAACAAGGACAGAAGGUGCCUGUAGCAAGUGUGUUAAAAAAUGAUAAGCUUAGAGGCAUGUCUACAAAUGCUCGCAGUUUUAGUGAAAAAGAUCCAUGAACUUGUGGCAAUAAUGGCAACUGAUAGUGUAGAUUAGUCGCUGUUACUGAGACAUGGUAUAAUGAGAAAAAUGACUGGGACAUAGCAAUACCAGGGUACUCUUUAUAUAGAAAAGAUAGGAAGGCAAGAAAGGGGGAGGGGUGGCCCUGUAUGUGAAGGAUAGCAUAAAAUCUAGCCUAAUAAAAGUUAGUGAGACAAACAUAGAGUCCGUUUGGGUUACGUUAGAAUUUGGUAAUCACACAGUAACUUGUGUAGGUGUGAUUUAUAGGCCCCCAGGACAAAUUGAAGAGUUAGAUAAUCUACUAGUUGAGGAAAUAGCUAAAAUGACAAUGAAGGGGGAAGUUAUCAUCAUGGGUGACUUUAAUCUUCCUGAUGUAAAUUGGAAAACAAAAUUAGCUACUUGUGCCAGGAGCACACAUAUUCUUAACUCACUACUGGGAUUGUCUCUAAAACAAGUUGUUGAAGAGCCAACUCGUAAAGAGGCCAUACUAGAUUUAGUGUUAACAAAUGGAGAUUUGGUAUCAGAUAUUACUGUAGGUGAAAGUUUAGGAUCCAGUGAUCAUCAGUCAGUGUGGUUUAAUAUAAGAACAGUGACUGAGUCACACCACAUAAAAACAGAGUCAUUAUCAGACUGGAUCAAUUUAAAUGGAGUCCAAGAGAAAUGGGAUUAUUUAAAAGUUGCACUAUUGAAGGCAACAGAAAAUUGCAUUAGGCUUGUCAGUAAAAGCAAAAAAUUCAAGAAACCACUGUGGUACUCCGCAGAUGUGGCCAAAAUAGUUAAAAACAAAAAGUUAGCAUUUAGGAAUUAUAAAAAAACCCAGAGUGAGGAAGACAAAAUGAUCUAUAAGAUUAGGCAGAAAGAGGCUAAGCAAGUUAUAAGAGCUUCCAAAUCACACACGGAAGAGAAAAUAGCACAGUCAGUAAAAAAGGGGGAUAAAACAUUUUUUAGAUACAUAAAUGAGAAAAGAAAAGUAAAACAAGGAUUAGUUAGAUUAAAAACAAAAGAAGGAAGGUAUGUAGAAGAGGAUAAAGGUCUAGCUGACUGCCUCAAUCAAUAUUUUUGUUCUGUAUUUACAGAUGAAAAUGAAGGAAAAGGACCUCAGUUGAGAAAAAGGAUAAAUUAGUCAUUUAUUACAUGUGAGUUUACAGAGGAAGAGGUUCUAUUUCAACUGUCAAAAGUAAAGACAAAUAAGUCAAUGGGACCUGAUGGAAUACACCCAAAGCUAUUAAAAGAGCUUAGUGGUGUACUAGCAAAACCAUUAACAGAUUUAUUUAACCAAUCAUUGUUAACAGGAGUAGUCCCAGAAGAUUGGAAGUUAGCGAAUGUUGUGCCCAUUUACAAGAAAGGUAAUAGGGAGGAGUCGGGCAACUAUAGGCCAGUAAGCCUUACUUCAGUAGUGGGGAAAGUGAUGGAAACCAUGUUAAAGGAUAGGAUUGUUAAACAUCUAAAAACACAUGGAUUUCAAGAUCAGAGACAACAUGGAUUUACUUCAGGGAGAUCAUGCCAAACUAAUCUUAUUGAUUUUUUUGAUUGGGUAACUAAAAUUAUAGAUCAGGGUGGUGCAGUAGACAUUGCUUACCUAGAUUUCAGUAAGGCUUUUGACACUGUUGCACAUAGAAGGCUUAUCAAUAAAC